AAGUCAGCCCCACCUCCCAGUCGACCCUGAUGAAGAGAUGUAGUGGUGCUGAACAAAGUCGUGACACAGAGAAAUUAAAUAUUCUCUAUUUAUUUCACAGGGGGGUAACUCAAACUGUAGAAAGAGGGGUGACUCAAGCUUAUUCACAAGAGAGAGGAAACUGAAGAGCCUCACAUCACCAACGUCACCCAUCAAGGACAUGCUCUCACAUCCGGUGAGAUGUUCUUUGAUUCCUUCAUUUAAAUGUAAUGUACAGCUGCUUCCAAGUUCCAUUUUCUCUCUUGCCCAGAUGACAUCUAAAUAAAGAUACAUUUUAAUUUCCACCUGUA